GACGAACGCUGGCGGCGUGCUUAACACAUGCAAGUCGAACGGAAAGGCCCUGCUUUUGUGGGGUGCUCGAGUGGCGAACGGGUGAGUAACACGUGAGUAACCUGCCCUUGACUUUGGGAUAACUUCAGGAAACUGGGGCUAAUACCGGAUAGGAGCUCCUGCUGCAUGGUGGGGGUUGGAAAGUUUCGGCGGUUGGGGAUGGACUCGCGGCUUAUCAGCUUGUUGGUGGGGUAGUGGCUUACCAAGGCUUUGACGGGUAGCCGGCCUGAGAGGGUGACCGGCCACAUUGGGACUGAGAUACGGCACAGACUCCUACGGGAGGCAGCAGUGGGGAAUAUUGCACAAUGGACGGAAGCCUGAUGCAGCAACGCCGCGUGCGGGAUGACGGCCUUCGGGUUGUAAACCGCUUUCGCCUGUGACGAAGCGUGAGUGACGGUAAUGGGUAAAGAAGCACCGGCUAACUACGUG
rnacentral:rRNA from 1 species